CUGAAACGAUUGUUGUUGUUUUGGCAGGUGAAGAUAUUGAAUUCGUGCUGAAAAAUGCACUUCUCCUGUUUUAUCCAGCAAAGAGUUACUGUCUAUCCCACAUGCAAGGCCGAUGGCGUCGAAAUGAUGAAACUAUGGUUGUAGUAAGGGAACCAUACUUUCAAACGCUUGCGAAAGGACUAACUGAUGAUGUUCUUAGUGGUCAUUUGGACACUACAUUUCAAAGCCAAUCCUUACAUAAUAUUGGAUACGAAAAAUGCCAUGUUAUAAUCUAUAUUUAUCACACGCGC
rnacentral:lncRNA from 1 species